rnacentral:tRNA from 1 species
GCCCCCGUAGCUCAGUGGAUAGAGCAGCGCUUUCCUAAAGCGUUGGUCGCACGUUCGAUUCGUGCUGGGGGCG